rnacentral:rRNA from 1 species
UACGGAGGAGGCUAGCGUUAUCCGGAAUUAUUGGGCGUAAAGCGUGCGUAGGUGGUGUACCAAGUCUGCUGUCAAAGGGUGGGGCUUAACCUCAUAAAGGCAGUGGAAACUGGUGAGCUAGAGUGCGGUAGGGGUAAGGGGAAUUCCCAGUGUAGCGGUGAAAUGCGUAGAGAUUGGGAAGAACACCGGUGGCGAAAGCGCCUUGCUGGGCCUGAACUGACACUGAGGGACGAAAGCUAGGGGAGCGAAAGGG